rnacentral:lncRNA from 1 species
GGGGUGUUGUUUUGUUGUAAGUUUAGCCAUUGCUACUUCCUUGUAGACGCAUGUGUCGACUAGACCAUCCGUUCUACUUGAUUCAAAACCCAUAUUGUUAUCGUGAUUCAUAUCAGAUCCUUCUUGUAUUAUUUGGCAAUUGAGUGCCUGUUCUAUCUGUUCUUGCAUGUUCUUCGAUUGCGUGCAGGAAUUACCCUAGUGGUUUGGUUGG